UACGAAGGGGGCUAGCGUUGCUCGGAAUCACUGGGCGUAAAGCGCACGUAGGCGGAUUCUUAAGUCAGGGGUGAAAUCCUGGAGCUCAACUCCAGAACUGCCUUUGAUACUGGGAGUCUCGAGUCCGGGAGAGGUGAGUGGAACUGCGAGUGUAGAGGUGAAAUCGUAGAUAUUCGCAAGAACACCAGUGGCGAAGGCGGCUCACUGGCCCGGUACUGACGCUGAGGUGCGAAAGCGUGGGGAGCA
rnacentral:rRNA from 1 species